GGAAUAGAUACCCUAUUAUUGGUAAAAAUUAUCGAAUUAGUAUAAGGAAACUUAAAAGGUUUGGUGGUUAUUUAGUAUUUAGAGGAGCUUGUUUUUGGAAGAAUUUACUCUUUGUAUUUAAAAUAGAUAUAUGCUUAUUCAUCUCCGUUAUUAGAUAUUAGUUAAUUAAAUUUAAUUUAGAAUUUCAGGUCAAGAUGUAGUUUAGUUAAGGAAGAAUUAGCUAUGAUUUUGAAAAAGGUUUUAAUUAAGAGAAUUUUUAGAAAAAGUUGAAUUUAAUUGUAAUUUAAAUUAGAAAGUUAUAAGAAGAGAUUUUAGAUAAUGUACAUAUCGC
rnacentral:rRNA from 1 species